AGUUUAAGUAGUGUAAAAUAUAACACAUUAAGUUGUAAACUUAAAAAAACCUAAGUCUAAACUU
rnacentral:tRNA from 1 species